CCUACGGGAGGCAGCAGUGAGGAAUAUUGGUCAAUGGGCGCAAGCCUGAACCAGCCAUCCCGCGUGCAGGAAGACGGCCCUAUGGGUUGUAAACUGCUUUUCCAGGGGGUGAAUUAAUCCGACGAGUCGGGUUUUGACGGUACCCUGGGAAUAAGCAUCGGCUAACUCCGUGCCAGCAGCCGCGGUAAUACGGAGGAUGCGAGCGUUAUCCGGAUUUAUUGGGUUUAAAGGGUGCGUAGGCGGACAAAUAAGUCAGUGGUGAAAACCUGCAGCUUAACUGUAGACUUGCCGUUGAUACUGUUAGUCUUGAGUAUGGUCAAGGUAGGCGGAAUGUGUAAUGUAGCGGUGAAAUGCUUAGAUAUUACACAGAACACCGAUUGCGAAGGCAGCUUGCUGGGCCAUUACUGACGCUGAUGCACGAAAGCGUGGGGAUCGAACAGGAUUAGAUACCCUGGUAGUCCACGCCGUAAACGAUGAUCACUCGCUGUUGGCGAUACACAGUCAGCGGCUAAGCAAAAGCAUUAAGUGAUCCACCUGGGGAGUACGGCCGCAAGGCUGAAACUCAAAGGAAUUGACGG
rnacentral:rRNA from 1 species